GAUGAACGCUGGCGGCGUGCUUAACACAUGCAAGUCGAACGAUGAACACGGAGCUUGCUCUGUGGGAUCAGUGGCGAACGGGUGAGUAACACGUGAGCAACCUGCCCCUGACUCUGGGAUAAGCGCUGGAAACGGCGUCUAAUACUGGAUAUGUGACGUGAUCGCAUGGUCUGCGUCUGGAAAGAAUUUCGGUUGGGGAUGGGCUCGCGGCCUAUCAGCUUGUUGGUGAGGUAAUGGCUCACCAAGGCGUCGACGGGUAGCCGGCCUGAGAGGGUGACCGGCCACACUGGGACUGAGACACGGCCCAGACUCCUACGGGAGGCAGCAGUGGGGAAUAUUGCACAAUGGGCGCAAGCCUGAUGCAGCAACGCCGCGUGAGGGAUGACGGCCUUCGGGUUGUAAACCUCUUUUAGCAGGGAAGGAGCGAAAGUGACGGUACCUGCAGAAAAAGCGCCGGCUAACUACGUG
rnacentral:rRNA from 1 species